rnacentral:rRNA from 1 species
CGUAGCAAUACGUGGCAUAUGGCUCAGUAACACGUAGUCAACAUGCCCAGGGGACGUGGAUAACCUCGGGAAACUGAGGAUAAACCGCGAUAGGUCAUAAUAUCUGGAAUGAUUUCUGGCUAAAAUCUAUAUGGCCCCUGGAUUGGACUGCGGCCGAUCAGGCUGUUGGUGAGGUAAUGGCCCACCAAACCUAAAACCGGUACGGGCUCUGAGAGGAGAAGCCCGGAGAUGGGCACUGAGACAAGGGCCCAGGCCCUAUGGGGCGCAGCAGGCGCGAAAACUCUGCAAUAAGCGAAAGCUUGACAGGGUUAUUCUGAGUGAUUUCCGCUAAGGAAAUCUUUUGGCACCUCUAAAAAUGGUGCAGAAUAAGGGGUGGGCAAGCCUGGUGUCAGCCGCCGCGGUAAUACCAGCACCCCGAGUGGUCGGGACGAUUAUUGGGCCUAAAGCAUCCGUAGCCGGUUCUACAAGUCUUCCGUUAAAUCCACCUGCUUAACAGAUGGGCUGCGGAGGAUACUAUGGAGCUAGGAGGCGGGAGAGGCAAGCGGUACUUAGUGGGUAGGGGUAAAAUCCGUUGAUCCAUUGAAGACCACCAGUGGCGAAGGCGGCUUGCCAGAACGCACUCGACGGUGAGGGAUGAAAGCUGGGGGA